rnacentral:misc_RNA from 1 species
AACGGUCUAUACCUGCGGUACCUGCGGAAGGAUCAUUACCGAGUUUACAACUCCCAAACCCAAUGUGAACGUUACCAAACUGUUGCCUCGGCGGGAUCUCUGCCCCGGGUGCGUCGCAGCCCCGGACCAAGGCGCCCGCCGGAGGACCAACCAAAACUCUUUUGUAUACCCCCUCGCGGGUUUUUAUAUCUGAGCCAUCUCGGCGCCUCUCGUAGGCGUUUCGAAAAUGAAUCAAAACUU